AGGCCCGUUCGUUAACUGGCAAGCGGUGGGACUCCAAAUCCCAUGCUGGGAGUUCGAAUCUCCCCGGGCCUGCAA
rnacentral:tRNA from 1 species